rnacentral:rRNA from 1 species
AGGGUUUGAUCCUGGCUCAGAACGAACGCUGGCGGCGUGGUUUAGGCAUGCAAGUCGAGCGCGAAAGUUCCUUCGGGAGCGAGUAGAGCGGCGAAAGGGUGAGUAAAGCUUGGGCAACUUACCUCUUGGACUGGGAUAGCCUCUGGAAACGGAGGGUAAUACCGGAUGGCCUCGCGGUGACUGCGGUCACUGCGAGUAAAGCGGGGGUCUUCGGACCUCGCGCCGAGAGAGAGGCCCGAGUCCUACCAGCUUGUUGGUGAGGUAAUGGCUCACCAAGGCUAAGACGGGUAGCUGGUCUGAGAGGAUGGUCAGCCACACUGGGACUGAGACACUGCCCAGACUCCUACGGGAGGCUGCAGUCGAGAAUCAUUCACAAUGCGCGAAAGCGUGAUGAUGCGACGCCGCGUGGAGGAUGAAGGCCUUAGGGUUGUAAACUCCUGUCACGGGUUAUGAAACGCAGUGCGUUAAUAGCGUGCUGCCUGACAAAGGCCCGAGAGGAAGUCACGGCUAACUCCGUGCCAGCAGCCGCGGUAAUACGGAGGUGGCAAGCGUUGCUCGGAAUUACUGGGCAUAAAGGGCGUCUAGGCGGAUCGGUAAGUUGGCUGUGAAAGCCCUCGGCUCAACCGAGGAAGUGCAUCCAAAACUGCCAGUCUUGAGGGCGAUAGGGGAGAGUGGAACUCCUGGUGGAGCGGUGAAAUGCGUAGAUAUCAGGAGGAACGCCGGUGGCGAAAGCGACUCUCUGGAUCGUCCCUGACGCUGAAGCGCGAAAGCUAGGGGAGCGAACGGGAUUAGAUACCCCGGUAGUCCUAGCCGUAAACGAUGAGCACUAAGUAGUGGCAUUUUCGAUGAUGUCACUGCCGUAGCUAAUGUGUUAAGUGCUCCGCCUGGGGAGUAUGGUCGCAAGGCUGAAACUCAAAGGAAUUGACGGGGGCUCACACAAGCGGUGGAGGAUGUGGCACAAGCGGUGGAGCAUGUGGCUUAAUUCGAAGCAACGCGAAGAACCUUAUCCUGGGUUUGACAUGCACGGAUUAGCUUUCCGAAAGGUAAGUGACACCCUCGGGUGGAACGUGCACAGGUGCUGCAUGGCUGUCGUCAGCUCGUGCUGUGAAGUGUCGGGUUAAGUCCCUUAACGAGCGAAACCCUUGCCGCUAGUUGCUACCAGGUAAUGCUGAGGACUCUAGCGGGACUGCCGGUGUCAAACCGGAGGAAGGUGGGGAUGACGUCAAGUCCUCAUGGCCUUUAUGCCCUGGGCUGCACACGUGCUACAAUGGUA